AACGAACGCUGGCGGCAUGCCUAACACAUGCAAGUCGAACGAGACCUUCGGGUCUAGUGGCGCACGGGUGCGUAACACGUGGGAAUUUGCCUCGGGGUAUGGAAUAACUCAGGGAAACUUGAGCUAAUACCAUAUAAUGUCUUCGGACCAAAGAUUUAUCGCCCUGAGAUAAGCCCGCGUAGGAUUAGCUAGUUGGUGAGGUAAAGGCUCACCAAGGCGACGAUCCUUAGCUGGUCUGAGAGGAUGAUCAGCCACACUGGGACUGAGACACGGCCCAGACUCUACGGGAGGCAGCAGUGGGGAAUAUUGGACAAUGGGCGAAAGACCUGAUCCAGCAAUGCCGCGUGAGUGAUGAA
rnacentral:rRNA from 1 species